rnacentral:lncRNA from 1 species
AGAGGUCCAGAUGCAGCCUGGGGCUGUGGUCACAGCUCGCCAUCCCAUCCGCAUUGCUUGGUCUGCACCUUUGCUCUCCCAGCACCGGCACUAUCCUCGUCAUCUCGGCCACGAUUAUGGAUGCGCUGUCCUCUGCCCUGGCUGGAACAGUUGCCUUCCAGAAAGGUACUACCUGGCUUGAACAACAACAAAUGUCUUUUCCUGUAACUUGUAUUGCCCCACAGAGGAAGACGAACAGCUCUCCCACACUGGAGCCAUAACUUUACCCAUGAGCCUUCACUCUCAGCCAGGGCAGACAAGAGUCCAGCGCGUCUGAGACUGUUCCUGCUCUGACCCAGAUAUCCAACCUGCUAGUGUGUGAGGUGAGUUCCAGACCUAUUGCUGACCUCAACACCCUACUUCCCCCAAGUCUAGUUUGCUCAGGUUUUCCUUAAUGGUGUGAGCAGAGAGUCACCACCUCCCCCGUAACGGCCUGAGCGUCUGUAUCUCAAAUCAAGCGUGUGUUUGCCAUGCCAAGGUUUCCUAAACAAAGAUUCCGUUUAUUUAUUUCGUAUUAUUUGUCUGGAGGUUUGUGACUUUUCACACAUAUCCCCCCACCCCCAGGGUUUGGUGCCAGGAAUUGAGCCCAGGGAAGCUCUCUACAUUUUUUUCCCUAUAGUGCUAGAGACUCAACCAUAAUUUUUUUGACUAAGUUUUAUAUGUCCCUUUAUGCUAAUUUCAAGAUCACACAAGACCCGCAGUCUUAGGCAUGAGCUCUCAUUCAAGUGCUGCUUCCUCCAUUACUGAGAGUGAUAAUUAGCACUGAUUUGCCUUUUGCCUUAGGAUCUGUGGUGUUGAUAAACUGAUGUGUCAUUUUUACUAAUUUCCAUAGAAUACUCCAUGUCUCAGUCAGGAUUUCCAUUGCUGUGAAGAGACACCGUGACCACAGCAACUCUUAUGAAGGAAAAGAUUUCAUGUGGACUGGCCUGCAGACCAGAGAUUUAGUCUACUGUUGUCAUGGCAGGAAACCUAGCAGUGUGCAUGGUGCUGGAGAGGAGCUAAGAGUUCUACAUCCCGAUCAGAAGGCAGCAGGAAGGGAACUUUGAGCCACUAGACCUGAGCUUCUGAGACUUCAAAGCCUACCCCUUGGUGACAUGCUUCCCUCAACAAGCCACACCCACUCCAGUACCUAAUAGUGCCACUCCCUGUGGAUCUGUGGGGGCCGUUUUCAUUCAAACUUCCACACCCCAUAUAUUUCUUGGGUUGCGUGUCUACUUUGUCACACAACAGAUAUAGCGUUCUGGCAAGCUGUAGCAUGUGCCACCAUUUUCUCUCAGAACCACUCAAAUAGGUGACAACACCCUCUUACACAAGCCUCUGCCACCUGGAAGAGAGUUCAUCCCGCUGCAAGAGAAGGAGGACUGAGAUUGAAGGGGUGUUUACUAAUUAUUUAUUUAUUUUUACUAAUUAUCAUUUACUAAUUCUGAUUUCUAACUAAGGGUUAGUGUUUAAGGUAUAAGGUGCUGGGGUGGCUAGUUUUAAUUGUUAACUUGACACCAUAUAGAGUCACCUGGGAAGAGCUUUGAUUGAUUACCUAGAUAAAGUUGGCCCACAGGCCUGCUAUUAUUUUGAUUGUGUUAAUCGAGGUGGGAAGACCUGCCCACUGUGGGUGGUAACAUUCCCUAGGAAGGGGGAUCAUGAACUGUAUGAAAGGGGAGAAAACGAAUUGGUCCU